rnacentral:rRNA from 1 species
AUUGAACGCUGGCGGCAGGCCUAACACAUGCAAGUCGAAUGGUAACAGGAAACAGCUUGCUGUUUCGCUGACGAGUGGCGGACGGGUGAGUAAUGUCUGGGAAACUGCCUGAUGGAGGGGGAUAACUACUGGAAACGGUAGCUAAUACCGCAUAACGUCGCAAGACCAAAGAGGGGGACCUUCGGGCCUCUUGCCAUCAGAUGUGCCCAGAUGGGAUUAGCUAGUAGGUGGGGUAACGGCUCACCUAGGCGACGAUCCCUAGCUGGUCUGAGAGGAUGACCAGCCACACUGGAACUGAGACACGGUCCAGACUCCUACGGGAGGCAGCAGUGGGGAAUAUUGCACAAUGGGCGCAAGCCUGAUGCAGCCAUGCCGCGUGUAUGAAGAAGGCCUUCGGGUUGUAAAGUACUCUCAGCGGGGAGGAAGGGAGUAAAGUUAAUACCUUUGCUCAUUGACGUUACCCGCAGAAGAAGCACCGGCUAACUCCGUG